rnacentral:rRNA from 1 species
CUGGCGGCAUGCCUUACACAUGCAAGUCGAACGGUAACAGGCCGCAAGGUGCUGACGAGUGGCGAACGGGUGAGUAAUACAUCGGAACGUGCCCGAGAGUGGGGGAUAACGGAGCGAAAGCUUUGCUAAUACCGCAUACGAUCUACGGAUGAAAGCAGGGGGACCGCAAGGCCUUGCGCUCAUGGAGCGGCCGAUGGCAGAUUAGGUAGUUGGUGGGAUAAAAGCUUACCAAGCCGACGAUCUGUAGCUGGUCUGAGAGGACGACCAGCCACACUGGGACUGAGACACGGCCCAGACUCCUACGGGAGGCAGCAGUGGGGAAUUUUGGACAAUGGGCGAAAGCCUGAUCCAGCCAUGCCGCGUGCAGGAUGAAGGCCUUCGGGUUGUAAACUGCUUUUGUACGGAACGAAACGGUCUGGGCUAAUACCCCGGGCUAAUGACGGUACCGUAAGAAUAAGCACCGGCUAACUCCGUG